AUCAAGAAGGCAAGACAGAGCAAUCAGGCAGCACGAUCCUCUCCUGGACAGGCUGGCACAGAGCCCUGAGCACCCCCUGGGUCACGGUGCCAUGAUCGUCUACUGCCUCGUGAUAUUCCUCACCUCCUCUCUCUUGUCAUCUCAAUGCCCCUCUCUCGCGGCUUUCCUCCAGCUGCUACCGUUGGCUGUGUCCUCUGCAGACCCUCUGCCAGCCCCUACGCUCUCCGCAGACCCCAGAUAUGAUGUCUAUUAUGAAGGAGAAGUUGUCACUUUGAAGUGCUUGGCU